UUUCUCAAAAUUGUAUUUUCUCAAGUCUUUUAAAAACUGUACACAUUUAAAAAUGCCAUCACUGAUAAUGGGUCGAUGGUGGUGUUGGUGGUGGUUGUUCGAUUCGUUCGUGUGAACACAAUCAAGGCACACUUACUGUACUCACUGUAUGUAUUAAUUAUUCUACUGUCGCUGCUGCUGCAUACUGCCCGAUCUGGCACUCGAUGUGUGGUGAAUGCUGUGUGCCUGCCUGUGAACCGCCAGCCACUGAUAAUUGUUUUAUGUUGUUGUAUUUUUGAGCGCAUUCGAGAGUUGUCUGUAUACAUUAUCGAUUUUGUUGUAGAAUACUCGUUCAUCGCUCAGCCAGCUCGCUUGUACGCUCACUCGUUCGAACUACACCUUUUGUUAUGCGACAAACAACAAGGAAUGAUCAUUCGUCGUCGAACCGCCAACCAGGCAUAACGUCGUACGAGAUUUGAAAGUCCGAAACGCGGCGCGACAUUUUGGAUUAUUUCCACACACUUUUGUUUGAAGCGACAAAAAAUACGCUUUCGUUGUUUUUUUGUUGUCCAAAAAUUGUUUAUGUUUUGUUUGCCGUUUUAAUUAACAUCACCCAGUUAAUAAUUGAGAGUAGUUAACGAACGGUUAACUUGUGGUUUGAGAAAAAAAAACCGACAUAAUUUGUGAAAAUUAAUUGAGUGCUCACAGUUUCCCUCUACGCGUGGCAUUAAUUACAAAAAUUGUAAGAAAUAAAUAAAUCGAGGGAAAUUAAAGAAUUUAAAUUCAAAAAUAAGCGCCGGUUAUUGGAGAAUUUCAAAGCAAAAGAAAUUUAAAAAAAAAAAAAACUAAAAGCAUGAACCAAAAAACACUAAAGACUAACAACAACAACAAAACACAGCGUCGACAAAUAAUAUCAAAACCUUUAAAACAUAACACGCACCAGUCUCAUGCUCAGAGGAAAAUUUAAAGAAAACAUCAGCUAAAAAAAGAAAAAUUGCUGAAUCAGGAAAAUAAAAACCAGCUAGCAACACCAGUGUGUUAUAUAUUGUGAUAAUAUUCAUAAAUAAAUCCAAAAAGAAGAAGAAGAAGAAGAAAAACACGCACAAGAAGAAAACCAGUUCCUCCUGCAAAAGAAGAGUCCUAUUAUAAUCGACAAUACAUAAUAAUCAACAUCAUUGCCAUUGCCUAGGAAUUUCUUGUAAAAUAAUCAGACACACAACCAGCCAGCCAGUCAACCAAAUCACCCAGUUGAUAAUAAACACCAGUGAAAACAUUGUCCAUUAGUUUUGUAACAAGAUUUAAGGCAAGGUACCUAAAAAUAGUAACUUUUUAAAGAAGAAGAAGAACAGCAACAACAACACAAGAAGAGAAAACAAAAUAAAAAAAGCAUUUUCAAACUGUGAUUAAAAGAACUUAACGUCAAAUCAUCUCUGGUUUAACGUAAACAA
rnacentral:sRNA from 1 species